UACGUAGGCAGCGAGCGUUGUUCGGAGUUACUGGGCGUAAAGAGUGCGUAGGCUGUGGUCCAAGUCUGGUGUGAAAUCUCCCGGCUCAACCGGGAGGGUGCGCCGGAAACUGGGCUGCUUGAGUACUGGAGAGGCAAGCGGAAUUCCUGGUGUAGCGGUGAAAUGCGUAGAUAUCAGGAGGAACACCCGUGGUGUAGACGGCUUGCUGGACAGUCACUGACGCUGAGGCACGAAAGCGUGGGGAGCAAACAGG
rnacentral:rRNA from 1 species